CUCUUGGCCUUUUGCACUGAUUCACAUGGAGCUUGGACAAUCUUCUCAUUGUCUGGUUACAUUUCUUUAUUUCUUUAUUUCCCCUUUCUUUUUAAUCCUCUCUAGUCCCUUAAAUAAUUUAAUUCCCCCCUUUUCCUGUUCGAUUUCCCACCCCACCCCUUACCCUGCCCUGUGGGAAGAUUCUCCCUGUAGCUGUGGCUUGCCUUUCCCAAUAGGGAGAGAGCCCCCGUUAGGGGCUUUCUUUCGCAAAAAGGUUUGCCCCAUUUCUCUUGUUGAAAUUGUGGGGCUAGUCAGGGCUGUUCCCAGCUUAGCUGGAAUCACUUUCGUUUAUAGUAUCCCCGAAGGUUGGCUUUAUUUUGAGUGUGUGCAGUGCUGUUGGCCAAAUUUUAAGCUAGCCUUGGGUGGGAGCACUAAUUUGAGUUCCUUUAAUAUUGCUAUGAGACUAAGAUUCUCAAGAGCAGAAGCAGGGAGGCCUAUUCGGCCUGCACAUAACUUCCAAGCCUAAGUCUGCUACAGGUAGCACUUAAUUGUUAAGUCUCUGACACGUGACUCAUUCUCGCUAUAGGAAUGUAUCUGCUUGCAGGCCCAGUUGCUGCUAAUGUAUAUCUGAGGCAGACAGAGGGCCCCAGAGGCUCUCUGUGCCUCCAAGGACUAUGAGCACUCUGUGUAUGCUCUUGAACUAUGCUGUUUCUGAACAAGUUUAUUUUCUUUAAGUUUGUUUUGCCCUGAUAGUGGCGACUGCCAUUUUAGAGAUGAGCCAUUGUGGCUUAGUGGCUAAAGUGUAGGACUAGGACCUGGGAGACAGGGUUCAUAUCCCCCUCUUAGCCAUUGUUAUAACAAAACAAAACAAACUGCUCCUUUUGGGCUAUUCUGUUGCUGGGUAGUUAGGCCCGUUUGUGAUAAAAGAAUUUUGGGUUUCUUGAAGGGGUGCUUCCCUCUAAAAGGGCAAGCAGGUGUACCUGGACAAGCUGUGGGCUACCUCAACUCUGCUAUUUCACUGGAAACAUUUAUGCCUGGCCUAGCAGGUGAUCCUAGGGCUUUGCCCUAGAAUUCAAUGGCCUGGAAGCGUUUCCGGCCUGAAUAGUGUCCCCAUGUGGUCCAUGAAGCAUUGGUUUCACUGGGUCAGCGCAUAGUGCUGGUAAUGCCUGGGUUGCAGGAUUGGUCCCUGUAUGGGACAGCUGCAUGCUCCCCAUUGCUCUACCUGGACACUUAAGUCCUUUUGGUGGUUACCUCACUGCGAGGGAUGUAACGGGCGCCACGUUUGCAAUAUGCAAGCGGGAGAAAGCACCUUUGCGUGCCCGCAUUGCAGUUUGUGUGUUGCAGGGCACGGCGCUGCACGGGCUGCAAUUGCAUUGCAUUGCAUGAGAGAUUUGCAGUUGCAUUGCACGGAGCGUGUGUGCAUUGCAUGGAGGGUGUGUGUGCAUUGCACGGAGGGUGUAGUUGCAUUGCACGGAGGGUGUUGUUGCAUUGUACGGAAGGUGUGGUUGCAUUGCACGGAGUGUGUGUGCAUUGCACGGAGUGUGUAGUUGCAUUGCACGGAGUGUGUGUGUAUGCAUUGCAUGGAGGGUGUAGUUGCAUUGAACGGAGGGUUUGUGUGUGCAUUGCACGGAGUGUGUGUGCAUUGAACGGAGGGUGUAGUUGCAUUGAACGGAGGGUGUGUAGUGCACGGAGUGUGUAGUUGCAUUGCACGGAGUGUGUAGUUGCAUUGCAUGGAGUGUAGUUGCAUUGCAUGGAGUGUAGUUGCAUUGCAGGGAGUGUGUUUUGCAUUGAACGGAGUGUGUAGUUGCAUUGCACGGAGGGUUUGUGUGUGCAUUGCACGGAGUGUGUAGUUGCAUUGCACGGAGGGUUUGUGUGUGCAUUGCACGGAGUGUGUAGUUGCAUUGCACGGAGUGUGUAGUUGCAUUGCAUGGAGUGUGUGUGCACUGCAUGGAGUGUGUUUUUGCAUUGCACAGAGUGUGUGUCUGAAAAGGAAGCUGGCUCGGCGGCAGCUUUGUCGGGACUUCUUUAAGGGUUCUGGCCAGCCUCGGCCCUGUAAAUUUACAUAUCAUGAUGGCAGCACAAGAUGCCCCCUGCCCAAGCGGGGGCUGGAAGCUGGCAAGCAAUAGCUCAAUACCUUUUGCCCAUAUUCCCAUUUUAUUUAGGGAUCUAGUUGGAUAUCGUUGCUAAAACAUACCACUUGCCUAUGGAGAAGCUGUCUGCCUUGAAGGAAGUUAUUUUGUAAUACUUCCUCUGUAGCAAGUGAUGCUUCAUCAGAUCCGAUCUUGCUGGGUCUCUUAAUUAAUCUUCCCACUAGGCCAGGCUGCCUGCGGCCUGAGGUCCCCUUACCUUUGUGUACGCCUACCAAGUGUGGUGAAGGCAGAUAUCAGGCGAUGGUAGCAAUUCCUGAAUGUAUGCAAUAGUAGAAUCAUAGAAUCAUAGAAUCACAGAGUUGGAAGAGACCACAAGGGCCAUCGAGUCCAGCCCCCUGCCAAGCAGGAAACACCAUCAGAGCACUCCUGACAUAUGGUUGUCAAGCCUCUGCUUAAAGACCUCCAAAGAAGGAGACUCCACCUCACUCCUUGGCAGCAAAUUCCACUGUCGAACAGCUCUUACUGUCAGGAAGUUCUUCCUUAUGUUUAGGUGGAAUCUUCUUUCUUGUAGUUUGGAUCCAUUGCUCCGUGUCCGCUUCUCUGGAGUUCGCCAUGGCAGGAUACCUUGAACCCGCACAGGGAUUUUCAGGUUCAUGCUGGUGCUGCUGGAUCUUUGCCCUUUGGUUUCUAUUUCAAGGGAUGCUGGUGUGCAAAGCUAUGGCCUCAAGCCCGGUGUGGUGAGGCAAUCAUGUGACAUAACUUUUCUUGAGUUUUCCCCAUUGUAGUAGCAGUUCACAUGUGGCCCGAGGAGUUCAGUGACCAUUGGAUCUGCUUUUGGUCUGAUAACCAGGUAGUGGUGAGCGUCUUAGCAAAACAGUCCUCACGCUCUAGCACAGUCUCCGCCCCUCCGUUCAUGCUUUCGAGCUGCGCCGCUUAAGGUUUAAUAUUGUGCUGUCUACUCUCCAAAUUACAGGAUCCUCUAAUGAUGUCGCUGACACUCUAUCCCAUUUUCAGCUGAAGUGCUUCAGAUCCUGGGCUCCAGAUUCAGCUAUUGCCAGACUUUUCCAGACCACCUGUGGCAUUUUGACAACAAUUAGUAAUUACAGAGAGCAGCAGCUUCCAUUUCCCCUUCUGCUUUUAGCUCUUAUGGGAAGGCCUGGAUGGAUUUCUUAGCCUUAAGCUGGCAGUCCUCGGCCAUUCAGAUGAACUGGCCCCCAUCCUCUGAGCAGAUCCGCAGUAUUUGGUCCACCUGCUGCAGAUUGGGCGUGCGUUAUAACUAUCAGAAUUCAGUCCGCUGCAAUGUCUGUUACACUGAAGCUUUAUUUUUCAGAGACCCUUGUAUGAAGUUUGUAGUGCGCAUGGCCUUGGAAGGUUGGAAUAGGCUCCAACCUCAUAGGACAGUGGGCAGGAAGCUGGUCAAUUUUUACCUAUGCAGUAUCUGCAACAAGUUAAAACUUGUCUGCUGGUUAAAGAUCAAGGCGAGACUCCUUUCAGUAGUCCACUGCAUUUUCGCACUGAGGCUUGGGAAAAUGGUUGUUGGAGCCAGCAUGGGGCUGAGAGUCUGGAGGCUUAUUGCUUCAGGACUUUUCCUUAUCCUUUGGAGCUUGUCAUUAGAGUUGGGAACUCUAAAACAGACUUAGUGGGCAGGAGUGCCACAAUCAGGCUUCCCGCCACAGUUGAGGAGGGCCCUUGCCUGGUUAUGGAUAACAGAAUAUUUGGCUUUUCAUUCCCUGGGGGCUGGCCCGCUCCUAGUGCAUGAAAAUGGGUUCCCGUUAGCCAGGCAUCAAUGUGCUUACGUCGUGCACCAGUUAUUACGGCCUGCGGCUUGCUUACCGCUGAACACGCCUCAUUCCUUACGAUUGGGUGCUGCUGCAAAGGCUGCACACUGGGGCCUGUCAGUAGACAGGAUUGUGAAUACGGGUCAUUGGAAGUCUGACGCUGACAAGGGUUAUAUCAGGAAGUGUCACAAUGAUGUCUGUGCUGAUGCUUGUCUGUUAUUUCCUUUUUUCAUAGGAGCAGCUGUGCACAUUUGGGCCACAGCAUUGUACACUAGGCUGGCAAGCAGGUUGACGAGUUUGGACUGGGGCGCCAUCUCAGUCUUCCUGCCCAUGUGAACAUAUACUGGAUGUCCAGAUGGGGAAUGCUUUGGGAGGAGAUCCUUCCUUUGGUGCGGUCGAGUGUGACCUGUGCAGGUCCUCCCGCAGUGCUAGUGGUGCAGCUGGACGAGAAUGACUUGCCGUCUUCCUCCAGCAUAAGUUUGCAUUCCUGCAUGCAAGAGGGCUUGGAUUGAGUUGAUGGCAGCUCUCCCAGGACUCAAAAUAAUUUAAGGCAUUGGUUCAAGGUGGUCUGGAGGGGGGGUUGGAGCACCUGUCCCCUCCAAUGCGCAAAGGAUUCACCAUGCUUUUGUCGACCCCUUUCGAGGGGUAGGGGCAUGCAAGAGUCCCUGGGAGCAUUUGGGGGUGAGCUUGAGUCUGAUCCUGGUUCAUUGCUCCCCACGCUGUUACUGGUACUGACGAUAUGGUGGGGCCCAGUCGUCAGUGCUGCCCUGCUGAGGUCAGGUGCAGCCAGUCAGGAACCAAUGCCUAGACAAACUACCACCGAGCAGGCCAGAAAGCAUGUUAAUAAGGCGGUGGACAAUAGAAUAAAAUAAAUAAAGUAAAUAAAAUAAAAUAACAAAUAAAAUAAAAUAGGUCCUUGCUUUAGGUGGUUCUGUAAUAUUGCACCCUGCUAUUUUUCUUCAAGGCUCUUGCUCUCUUUAGGGCAGAUGGGGUGCAUCUUUCCCCUAUGGGGAACGACACCUGGCAGGAUGCGAUUGCCUUGGGAUUCAUUGCUCCCCCACAAUGUUUGCUGGUACUGACGAUAUGGUGGGGCCCAGUCGUCAGUGCUGCCCUGCUGAGGUCAGGUGCAGCUAGUCAGGAACCAAUGCCUAGACAAACUACCACCGAGAAGGCCGGAAAGCGUGUUAAUAAGGCGGUGGACAAUAGAAUAAAAUAAAUAAAGUAAAUAAAAUAAAAUAACAAAUAAAAUAAAAUAGGUCCUUGCUUUAGGUGGUUCUGUAAUAUUGCACCCUGCUAUUUUCUUCAAGGCUGUUGCCCUCUUUAGGGCAGAUGGGGUGCAUCUUUCCCCUAUGGGGAACGACACCUGGCGGGAUGCGAUUGCCUUGGGAUUCAUUGCUCCCCCCACAAUGUUUGCUGGUACUGAUGAUAUGGUGGGGCCCAGUCGUCAGUGCUGCCCUGCUGAGGUCAGGUGCAGCUAGUCAGGAACCAAUGCCUAGACAAACUACCACCGAGAAGGCCGGAAAGCGUGUUAAUAAGGCAGUGGAAAUAAAAUACAGGUCAUUGGAAAUCGAAUGCAUUCAAAGGUUAUGUUCGUUAACAUUAUUGGUGUCUUACAAUUUUGCUUGUUUUACCUCAGGUUUAGCGACUGUCCGCAUCUGGUUGGUGGGGCACAGUAUCGUGCAUUGGGCCGGCAUCGGAGCCCGGCAAUCCGGAUUGGGACCAGGUCUCGGCCUUCCUCCACAUGUCCACUUGGCUUGGCUGUCCAGACGGGGAAUGCGCUGGUCAGAGUUCCUGCCGCUGAUUCGGAGGCAGAUGUUGUUGGAGGGGCCUCCUGCAGCUAUUGUGGUGCAGCUGGGUGAGAACGACCUGGUCUCCAUGGACUGUUUUUCGUUACGCGCAGCAAUUUUGGGCGACCUCGACGUGCUGCGGGCUAUGUUGCCGACUGCAAAGUUAUUUUGGUCGAAGUUUCUGCAACGACGUGCUUGGAGAGGGAGUCGUUGCCCAGCUGCCAUCGAAAGGGCCAGAAAGCGUAUCAAUUCUGCGGUGUCGAAAAAGGUUUUCGAGUUGGGUGGCGAUGUAAUCUCUCAUUCUGAGAUUAUCGCUCAGAAUGAAUCCUUUUUCAGAGACGAUGGUGUGCACCUUUCGGCCUUAGGGAACGAGGCUUGGCUAGGUGCGGUGGUGGCUAAGCUGAGGGCUUGGCUGGGUCUGUGAGUGGUUUGGCGGUGAGCUAAGGGCUCCAUGGCGGUUAGGCAUUGGUUAAAUUUGGUUGGUGGAGGGGUAAGUGCCUACCCCUCCAAUGGUGGUGCGGAAAUGGGAAUUCCGUUAAAGGAAUCCAGGGGCUUGCCAUUCUUUCGUCCUUGUCCCUGGUAUCGGACUUGGGCCGUGCAAGCCCCACCGGAACAUGAGGGUGAGAAGUGUGAGACUGAUGCCCAGCUUCAUUUUCUCACCCAAUACUUGUUUCCCACGCUGGCUUCCGCUGGAAUCCGGAAGUCAGCUCUGUCCCUGGGGCAAGGACAGAUAGUCAUAACCAAUGCCUAAGCAACCACUCACAUUUUUGUACUUUGAAUAAAGUUGUGGCCAAAAUCAUGCCAAAAACCUUAAACAAAAAUUGAUGUGUGAAGUGUGAAUUCUUUGGGGGGUGGCAUUGUGGGACUCAACACGCAAAGCGUGUUCUCCAUAAAAGAGAGCACGUGUUGCGGUUGGGGGAACAGGCCACCCUGCUGUUACUGGGCAGAUUUGGCGAGGAACCCAAGCCUUUAAGUGGUUAAUUUGGGUUACUGGGGAGUUUUGAAUGUUGCCAAUUUGGAGGUGGGGUCAGAGGCUUUAAAUACAGGACGUC